GGCCCGCUCUCAGCCGUGCCCUAGCAGCGGGAACAGUACUGCAGCGGGCGCUCGGCUCUGGAGUAUUGUUGCCGCUGCCCGGGCAAGGCUGGGACUC
rnacentral:miRNA from 1 species